AUGUUAAUAGCGUCCUUGCUUGACUAAGGCUCCGGAGGAAGCCACGGCUAACUCUGUGCCAGCAGCCGCGGUAAUACAGAGGCGGCAAGCGUUGUUCGGAAUUAUUGGGCGUAAAGAGCACGUAGGCGGCCGCGUAAGUCGGUUGUGAAAGCCUUCCGCUCAACGGAAGGACGGCAUCCGAUACUGCAUGGCUCGAGUGCGGGAGGGGAGAGUGGAACUUCUGGUGGAGCGGUGAAAUGCGUAGAUAUCAGAAGGAACACCGGCGGCGAAGGCGACUCUCUGGUCCGUAACUGACGCUGAGUGUGCGAAAGCUAGGGGAGCAAACGGGAUUAGAUACCCCGGUAGUCCUAGCCGUAAACGAUGGGCACUAGGUAGAGGGA
rnacentral:rRNA from 1 species